UACCAAACAAAAUUGCAUGUUUGUCUGUUUUUAAGUGUGGUCAAUUGUCUAAAGCCUAGACGGACAAAGGAAGCUGCAAUUGCUUCUGUAACUCAUUGUCCCACCGACCAGCUGUGGUGACGCCAGUCGCCAACAGCUACAGCGCUUUUCCAGGAGGCUUCAGUUAUUCUGUGACUGGUUACCAAGGCACUACACAUCACCCAGCAACUCACAAUCUCGCUGGCGGAGAGUGUUGCUGAGCAGCUGACCAACUGCGGCUGCUGGAGCGUUUCUCAGUCGUCGACCUCCGUAGACUGUCAAGCCUCCCUGGCCUUCUGCGACUCAAGAAGGAGGGAUUUUUAUCUGUGUUUACCAUACAAGAGACAUUUUAAUCUGACGAUUCGAUCGGAUCUGGAUCAUGAAUCCCGAGGCGGUGUGACAGAUGGUCGAGGCCGGCGCGCCACGCCAGACGCCUUCUCGCGCGGGGCGUGCUCAGGUCAGUCAGGUUGCGCUGCCGGACUCUGCUCCGAGGAGAGAAGCACAUAAGCGCAGUCAGGACGCGAGUGUGGUUGCACCGCCCCGGUCCCAGCAACCGCAUGGCGGUGGGGACUCACAGCCCGGCUGAUGGUUCCAGAUCGUCUCAGCGCAGCUUCUUCUCCGGACCCCGGCGCGGCAGCGAGGCUGGUGGUUCGGAGCCGACUGAUGGAGGACAGCAAAAGAACAGCAGGACAGGACAGCACCCUAACAGUAGCCUUCGGUCAUGUCAUGUGGCGAGAGCUGGGCCCCGGACCGGUCGAAAGGGUGCUCACUGCUCAGCUGAGUGGGUAAUGUCCGCGUCUCGUUAGUGUCCCCGGCCAGGUCCUGAAGGGUAGAUGAGGGCGGGAUAUUCUCCUUUAUAGACGCAGAGCAAUGCCAGAAGAAUGGUUUUGCGAUCGAGUUGCAUGCGCUGUCCCUGCUUGUCGCUCCUGCUGCCGCCGGCGGGGUUGGCGCUAAUGGCCAUUGACGGGGCUGCUGUGUUUGUAAAUUAGGUUGGAUGGACCCCUGCUCUCAGAGUUUUGUGUUGGUCGCUGGUAACCCAUGUUUUGUGGCCAGCGUGUUACGAACCCACGUAGUGGU
rnacentral:lncRNA from 1 species